rnacentral:rRNA from 1 species
GAUGAACGCUGGCGGCGUGCCUAAUACAUGCAAGUCGAGCGAACAGACGAGUACCUUUUUCGUCUGACUGUAGGGGUGGACGAGGGAGGAGCAAGUGGAUAAUCUACUUACACGACUGGGUUAACAUCCGCAAAAAGGUGCUAAUACUGGAGAAUAUUUUGAACCUCAUGCUUCAUGAGUGUAAGACGGAUAUUGUUUCACUGGUGGAUGGACUCGCGCCGUAUUAGCUAGUUGGUGAGGUAACGGCUUACCAAGGCGACGAUGAGUAGCCGACCUGAGAGGGUGAUCGGCCACCCUGGAACUGAGACAAGGUCCAGAAUCCUACGGGAGGCAGCAGUAGGGAAUCUUACGCAAUGGGCGAAAGCAUGACGGAGCAACGCCGCGUGAGUGAUGAAGGUCUUCGGAUCGUAAAACUCUGUUAUUAGGGAAGAACAAAUGUGUAAGUAACUAUGCACGUCUUGACGGUACCUAAUCAGAAAGCCACGGCUAACUACGUG